CCUGCCGAAGUUUGUAGUAGGCUUUGAGGGUGCAAAGGACAUCUGCGCUGGCAGUGUUUCAUUGUACCCCAGUUAAAGUAGAAUUAAGUGUGCUCCAGGAAUUUACUUUAACAUAUUUUUCUGCCCACAAUCUCCCAGUGCCGUGGAGUGUCCCAGUGAUUGGAGUAGGUAAAAGUCCUUACCGGAACACGUACCCAAAGAGGAGAAAAAAACGCAAACAGGCCGGGUCCGGGCUCUUGCCCCAAGAAAGGUCACUAAAGUUUCAGUGCUCGUAAAAGCUGCAACCGUAAUAAUGUUCCCGUUUGUAGCUGGAGCGUCUGAUGAGCGCCAAGGAAUGUUAUACGGGCCUCAGGAACGGUCGCGUACCGAGUUUACUACCUCAAGAUGUUUCUGUUCCGGCAUUUUGUUUUUUUUUUUGGAAACAUUGCAAAGGACUUAAGAACGGGUCAGUAACGAAUGGCGGAAAAACAAAAUCGAAGACACUGGCGAUGAUGCUCCAGCGUUUCGGGGUAGGGCUGGAGUAGAAGUCAUCUUCCUCGGUGGACUCUCGGUUAAAGUUCGUGACAAAAUAAACGUUCCUCAUUACGCA